rnacentral:rRNA from 1 species
UACGUAGGGGGCGAGCGUUGUCCGGAUUUAUUGGGCGUAAAGAGCGUGUAGGCGGUUCGGUAAGUCUGUCGUGAAAUCCUGAGGCUCAACCUCGGGCGUGCGAUGGAUACUGCCGGGCUAGAGGGGUGGUAGAGGCGAGUGGAAUUCCCGGUGUAGCGGUGAAAUGCGUAGAUAUCUGGAGGAAUACCGGUGGCGAAGGCGGCAUCCUGGAGCCGGCAUUGACGCUGAGGAGCGAAAGCUGAGGGGAGCAAACGGG